rnacentral:misc_RNA from 1 species
UUUCCGUAGGUGAACCUGCGGAAGGAUCAUUACUGAGUUUUGAUACGAAAGUGUCAAUCUCCCACCCUAUGUUUAAUAUGACCUGUUGCUUCGGCGAGCCGUCGUAAGACCGUCGGCUUUUUUGCGGACGAGCGUUCGCCGAAGGUUCAAACACUAUUAAUUAUGUUGCCUGAGUAAAAUUAAAACAAAUAAAAACUUUCAACAACGGAUCUCUUGGUUCUGGCAUCGAUGAAGAACGCAGC